rnacentral:rRNA from 1 species
UACGUAGGGUGCAAGCGUUAAUCGGAAUUACUGGGCGUAAAGCGUGCGCAGGCGGUGAUGUAAGACAGAUGUGAAAUCCCCGGGCUCAACCUGGGAACUGCAUUUGUGACUGCAUCGCUGGAGUGCGGCAGAGGGGGAUGGAAUUCCGCGUGUAGCAGUGAAAUGCGUAGAUAUGCGGAGGAACACCGAUGGCGAAGGCGAUCCCCUGGGCCUGCACUGACGCUCAUGCACGAAAGCGUGGGGAGCAAACAGG